rnacentral:misc_RNA from 1 species
UAACCGUAAGUGAACCUGCGGAAGGAUCAUUACCAAUAUAGCGAACUAAGCGUUAGCGAGGCUUCGCGAUCAAUUUGUAUUUAAAACCCAACUCUUUAAAUGUAUAUUAUUAUUAUUGUAUUUUAAAUAAUAAAAGAUCACUUUCAACAACGGAUCUCUUGGCUCUU